rnacentral:rRNA from 1 species
AGAGUUUGAUCAUGGCUCAGAUUGAACGCUGGCGGCAUGCUUUACACAUGCAAGUCGAACGGCAGCACGGGGGGGUAGCCCUCUGGUGGCGAGUGGUCGAAUGGGUGAGUAAUGCAUCGGAACGCGUCCUGUAAUGGGGGAUAACCUGGCGAAAGCCAGGCUAAUACCGCAUACGCCCUGAAGGGGAAAGCGGGGGAUUGGAAACGACCUCGCGUUAUAGGAGCGGCCGAUGUCGGAUUAGCUAGUUGGUGGGGUAAAGGCCUACCAAGGCGACGAUCCGUAGCGGGUCUGAGAGGACGGCCCGCCACACUGGGACUGAGACACGGCCCAGACUCCUACGGGAGGCAGCAGUGGGGAAUUUUGGACAAUGGGCGCAAGCCUGAUCCAGCCAUGCCGCGUGAGUGAAGAAGGCCUUCGGGUUGUAAAGCUCUUUCGGCCGGGAAGAAAUCGCAUUCUCUAAUACGGGGUGUGGAUGACGGUACCGGAAGAAGAAGCACCGGCUAACUACGUGCCAGCAGCCGCGGUAAUAC